GUGGGGAAUAUUGGGCAAUGGGCGAAAGCCUGACCCAGCAACGCCGCGUGAAGGAAGAAGGUUUUCGGAUUGUAAACUUCUGUCCUCAGGGAAGAAGGAAGUGACGGUACCUGAGGAGGAAGCCCCGGCUAACUACGUGCCAGCAGCCGCGGUAAUACGUAGGGGGCGAGCGUUGUCCGGAAUGACUGGGCGUAAAGGGCGCGUAGACGGCUGUCUAAGUCUGGAGUGAAAGUCCUGUUUUCAAGGCGGGAAUUGCUUUGGAGACUGGAUGGCUUGAGUGCGGAAGAGGUAAGUGGAAUUCCCAGUGUAGCGGUGAAAUGCGUAGAGAUUGGGAGGAACACCAGUGGCGAAGGCGACUUACUGGGCCGUAACUGACGUUGAAGCGCGAAAGCGUGGGGAGCGAACAGGAUUAGAAACCCCGGUAGUCC
rnacentral:rRNA from 1 species